UGCCAGCCGCCGCGGUAAUACGGAGGGGGCAAGCGUUGCUCGGGAUUACUGGGCGUAAAGCGAGCGUAGGCGGUUAAUCAAGUUGGAGGUGAAAGCCCAGAGCUUAACUCUGGAACUGCCAUCAAAACUGGUUAACUAGAGAUUGGUAGAGGAAAAUGGAAUUCCUAGUGUAGAGGUGAAAUUCGUAGAUAUUGGGAAGAACACCAGUGGCGAAGGCGAUUUUCUGGGCCAAUUCUGACGCUGAGGUUCGAAAGCGUGGGUAGCAAACAGGAUUAGAUA
rnacentral:rRNA from 1 species